rnacentral:rRNA from 1 species
GAUGAACGCUGGCGGCGUGCCUAAUACAUGCAAGUCGAGCGAACAGAUGAGGAGCUUGCUCCUCUGACGUUAGCGGCGGACGGGUGAGUAACACGUGGAUAACCUACCUAUAAGACUGGGAUAACUUCGGGAAACCGGAGCUAAUACCGGAUAAUAUAUUGAACCGCAUGGUUCAAUAGUGAAAGACGGUUUUGCUGUCACUUAUAGAUGGAUCCGCGCCGCAUUAGCUAGUUGGUAAGGUAACGGCUUACCAAGGCAACGAUGCGUAGCCGACCUGAGAGGGUGGGCGCCCCCACGGGAAAGGAGCCAGGCUCCAGACUCCGAGGGGAGGAGGCAGGGGGGAAUUUUCGGAAAGGGGGGAAGGUGGGAGGGAGCACCGCGGGGGGAGUGAGAAGGGUGUUGGGACCAAAAACCUUUUUUAUGGGGAAAAAAAAAAUUGAAAAGAAAAUGUGCCCGUCUUGACGGUACAUAAAAAAAAAGCCCCGGCAACCUACGGC